GGGGCUGUAGCUCAGUGGUAGAAUGCUUGCCUAGCAUGCAUGAGGCACUGGGUUCGAUCCUCAGCACCA
rnacentral:tRNA from 1 species